GAUGAACGCUGGCGGCGUGCCUAAUACAUGCAAGUCGAGCGAACGGACGAGAAGCUUGCUUCUCUGAUGUUAGCGGCGGACGGGUGAGUAACACGUGGAUAACCUACCUAUAAGAAUGGGAUAACUUCGUGAAACCGGAGCUAAUACCGGAUAAUAUUUUGAACCGCAUGGUUCAAAAGUGAAAGACGGUCUUGUUGUCACUUAUAGAUGGAUCCGCGCUGCAUUAGCCAGUUGGUAAGGUAACGGCGUACCAAGGCAACGAUGCAUAGCCGACCUGAGAGCGACGUCGGCCACACUGCCACUGAGACACGGUCGACACACCUAAGGGAGGCAACAGUAGGGAAUCUUACGCAAUGGGCGAAAGCCUGACGGAGCAACGCCGAGUGAGUGAUGAUGGUCUUCGGAUCGUAAAACUAUGUUAUUAGGGAAGACCAUAUGUGUAAGUAAAUGUGCACAUCUUGACGGUACCUAAUCAGAAAGCCACGGCUAACUACGUG
rnacentral:rRNA from 1 species